rnacentral:rRNA from 1 species
CCUACGGGAGGCAGCAGUGAGGAAUCUUGGUCAAUGGACGAGAGUCUGAACCAGCCAAGUAGCGUGAAGGAUGACUGCUCUAUGGGUUGUAAACUUCUUUUAUACAGGAAUAAAACGAGGCCCGUGUGCCUUUUUGCGUGUACUUUAUGAAUACGGAUCGGCUAACUCCGUGCCAGCAGCCGCGGUAAUACGGAGGAUCAGAGCGUUAUCCGGAUUUAUUGGGUUUAAAGGGAGCGUAGAUGGGUUGUUAAGUCAGGUGUGAAAGUUUGCGGCUCAACCGUAAAAUUGCAAUUGAUACUGAGAGUCUUGAGUACAGGUGAGGUAGGCGGAAUUCGUGGUGUAGCGGUGAAAUGCUUAGAUAUCACGAAGAACCCCGAUUGCGAAGGCAGCUUACUAAACUGUGACUGACAUUGAUGCACGAAAGUGUGGGUAGCAAACAGGAUUAGAUACCCGAGUAGUC